CUAAUAGUAAUAAUGUGCUUACCGAAAUAAGGAGCUAAAAGCAUUCAGUAAUCUUUUGCUAGGCAGAGAUCAAGAUAACGUAAAUUUUGUUAUAUAAUAUGUUACGCUUUCCUUGUUUUAUAGACCUGU
rnacentral:snRNA from 15 species